GCUUGCUUCAGCAGCAUAUACUUAAAUUGGAAUGAUACAGAGAAGAUUAGCAUGGCUCCUGCACAAGGAUGACAUGCAAAUUUGUGAAGCAUUCUACAUAUAU
ensembl:snRNA U6 U6 spliceosomal RNA